GCAUUAUUUGACUAUUAUAGACUUCCAAAACAACAGCUUCUCUGGUCCAAUACCACAAGCCAUCGGAAACCUCACUGGCCUUUAUUAUCUAGUGCUUUCCAAUAAUAAUCUCACCGGGAUGUUGCCACCUCAAAUAAGAAACUUGAAAAGUUUGGAAAAUCUAGAAUUGUCAAAAAACAAUAUCUAUGGACCAAUACUUGAGAUUAUUGGAAACCUCACAAGCCUCACAUAUAUUCAGAUUUCCUAUAACAAUUUCACUGGAACACUUCCACCUCAAAUAGGAAACUUGAUGAAUUUGAAAAUUCUAGACUUGUCAAGAAACAACUUUUGUGGUCCAAUAUCUCAAAUAAUUGGAAACCUCACACAACUUGUAGUCCUACGCCUUUCCACAAACAAUUUCAUUGGUACACUUAUGUUUGAUAGUGGAAAUCCAACAUCAAAUCUUAUCUCUUCAACCAUUUGCAAUUUACGUUCUCUCGUAAUUUUGGAUUUGGCAAACAAUUUGUUUACUGGGCCAAUACCUCAAUGUUUGGUAAACAAAGAUCUGUCUGUGUUAGAUUUGCACCAGAAUCAAUUUUAUGGGCCAAUCCCAACACAAUUUAAGGUUUGCAACUCAUUGAGCAGACUUAGUUUGUAUGAUAACCAAUUAGAGGGUGCAGUGCCACGAUCUUUAAUCAAUUGUAAAGGGUUAGAAGUUCUUGAUCUUGGACACAACAAUUUGAGUGGUACAUUUCCAAUGUGGUUAAGAGUUAUUCCAAAUCUAAAGGUUCUUAACUUGAGAUUUAAUCGGCUGAGUGGUUCCAUCCGAAAUAGGAGGAUUAAAGGGCAUUUGUUUCCACAACUUCGUGUCUUUGACCUCUCCUCUAAUGGAUUCACAGGGGAUUUACCCACAUGGCUUUUCAAGAAUUUUAAAGCCAUGACAAAUGUUGUUGAAGAUAAAUCACAAAUGUACCUUGGUUUGAACAAUACUGGUGAAGACAUUUUAGAUCCCUGGUACUAUGAAGAUUCAAUGAUUGUGAGUGUGAAGGGGCAAGAGCGUGAACUUGUAAGAGUAUUUAGCAUGUUUAUUACCAUUGAUCUCUCAAACAACAAAUUUGAAGGGCAUAUUCCAAAUAGCAUUGGAGAUCUUCUUGCAUUACGUGAAUUAAAUUUAUCACGUAACAAGUUCACUGGACACAUCCCAAUGUCUCUUGGAAAUUUAUCCAUGUUGGAAUCCUUAGACCUUUCUUUGAAUCAAAUUGGUGGAGUUAUCCCUGAGCAAUUGACAAGAAUUACAACUCUGGAAGUGUUGAAUCUCUCACAUAAUAAGCUUGUGGGAUGCAUACCUCAAGGCCCACAAUUCAAUACAUUUGAAGCAAAUUCAUACCAAGGAAAUGAUGGUUUGAAAGGAAAGCCUUUGUCACAAAGCUGUGGGGAUAGUGUGACACCACAACUUCCUGCACCAAAGGAUUUUUACAAAGAAGAUGAUUCGAGUUUUUUGAGCGGAUGCACAAUAAAAGUUGUGGCAAUGGGGUAUGGUUGUGGUAUUCUUUUUGGAUUAUUCAUGGGAAGUCUCAUGUUCCUGACUGGAAAGCCAGAAUUCAUUAGAAGGUUUGCUGAGGAAGAAGCAUACAAACUAGCAAUGAAGGUCAAACGAAGAAAAUCAAAGACAAGAAGAAGAAGAAACUAGCUAGCUUUGCGCAUGUCAAUGGUAAGUAAUCUUUUUACACCAAAGUAAUUUACAACUAUAUAUGGUAUGUUUUGUUUGGUAAUGCAUAAGUGCAUGUAGAUGCAUGAAGGAAUAUACUGUGAAGUGUGUUUACAAACUUUUGCAGAACAGAGGGUGCUAUUAAAGAAGUGCAUGUUUUGGUUUGUUGCUGAUUCAGAAAUCACCUCUCAAGUACUGAUUGCUUUUGGAUAUCUAGCUAAGUAUUGAGAUGUGGAACAUGAAUUGAGGUAUGAAGUAGAGAUGUCGAGAGCGCGCUACUUAGUUCUGUUGGUGUUUCCUAUUCCUUUACCUUAGAUUGAACUUUAAGUAAUUUCUGUAGUUAACUUAUGUUUUGAGAUUUCAUGUAAUGACUUUAGACUUAUGUUGGAUUUGGUUGUGAACUUU